rnacentral:rRNA from 1 species
AUUGAACGCUGGCGGCAGGCCUAACACAUGCAAGUCGAGCGGUUGAAGGGAGCUUGCUCCUGGAUUCAGCGGCGGACGGGUGAGUAAUGCCUAGGAAUCUGCCUGGUAGUGGGGGAUAACGUCCGGAAACGGGCGCUAAUACCGCAUACGUUCUGAGGGAGAAAGUGGGGGAUCUUCGGACCUCACGCUAUCAGAUGAGCCUAGGUCGGAUUAGCUAGUUGGUGGGGUAAAGGCCUACCAAGGCGACGAUCCGUAACUGGUCUGAGAGGAUGAUCAGUCACACUGGAACUGAGACACGGUCCAGACUCCUACGGGAGGCAGCAGUGGGGAAUAUUGGACAAUGGGCGAAAGCCUGAUCCAGCCAUGCCGCGUGUGUGAAGAAGGUCUUCGGAUUGUAAAGCACUUUAGGUUGGGAGGAAGGGCAGUAAGUUAAUACCUUGCUGUUUUGACGUUACCAACAGAAUAAGCACCGGCUAACUUCGUG